rnacentral:rRNA from 1 species
CAGUCGCCGCGGUAAUACGUAGGUGGCAAGCGUUGUCCGGAAUUAUUGGGCGUAAAGGGCUCGCAGGCGGUUUCUUAAGUCUGAUGUGAAAGCCCCUGGCUCAACCGGGGAGGGUCAUUGGAAACUGGGAAACUUGAGUGCAGAAGAGGAGAGUGGAAUUCCACGUGUAGCGGUGAAAUGCGUAGAGAUGUGGAGGAACACCAGUGGCGAAGGCGACUCUCUGGUCUGUAACUGACGCUGAGGAGCGAAAGCGUGGGGAGCGAACAGGAUUAGAUACCCCCGUAGUCCCUGUCUCUUAUAC